UGUCCUGUGGCCUUUGCUGCGUGCUUACAUGAGAGACAUAAGUGGGGGCUCCCAGCUCCUCGAGGGGUUGUACACAAGCCUGGCCCAGGAGGACCUGGGGAGGCUGGUUUCUGGGGUUCUCUGCAGAAUGAGAGCAUGAGGGAGACGAAAUGGAUUGUAAUCUUUGGACAGCAUCAGAGUUGGGCUCUGUGGAGACAAGAAGCUGGGGGCUUUCUGGAGGACUGUGCCUAGUGGGGACUCUGAGGAGCUUGGGGCAGGGGCUUUGUGAGGGUCUAGGAUCCAGCUUGCUGAGAGAGGGCCCGGGGUCCCCUUGGCUUGGGGGGCUCUGCUGAAAUGGCUGAGAACAGGAGUUCUUUGAGUAGCUUACAACCUCUGAAAAUGGGGUGUCUUGCAGAAGUGACAGGUCACCAGGUAGGGACCAAGGCUGAGGAUCCUGGGAUCUCUUGUCUUCUUCCAGUUGCCAUGGUAACCCCACUGGGAUGUCAGGCUGGGCAGAGCAGGAUGGAAGGUAUGGUUGAUGUCAGAAAGGGGAAGACACUGACAGGUGGGGAGGGGGUAGCAGAGAGGAAGUUCUCACCAGGCUGGAGCAGCUCUCUGACGCCGCCCCUCGCUGACAGCAGUCUAAGCUCUGGCUGGCCCUCUGCAGGUCGCCACUCUUGGUUUCCACGUUCAGGCUGUCUAGAAUCUCACUCAGUAGAUCCAGCUCUUCUCCAGACCCCAGAAAGCUGCCAUCUAGAGUAUCUUCUGCCCAGGGGUUCUGAGUGUCCCCAGGGCUCAAGGUGGGGCUCCUGGAUUGAGGAUUGACAUCCUGGGCUUUGUCUCCGGAGUCUAGAAGACACCCCUCAUCAGUUGUGAUCCUUGCACCUCUCAACUUUGAUCUGCUUCAAUUCUUACCUCUCCCGCAGGGGUUCGGAAGGUCCCUCUUCAGUCUUGAGUCUCCUGCUGGGGCGGAGGGGCCUGUUCUGAAAAAGAUAAGAGAGGAAGAAAUGGGAGGAGCCCCAGGAGCUUUUGAAUCCAGGGCUAGGGCUUUCCAGCUUGAAUUGGAAAGUGCAUUGGACAUGCCACUGUAUUCGAGCCUGAGGCAGGAGGAUUGUUUGCAAGUUCAAGUCCUGGAUGAUUCCUCUAAAAACAAAACAAAGGCUGGGGUGGAUCUCUGAGUUGUAGACCAGUUUGGUCUAAAAUACAAAAAAGCCCCAAGGGGGUUGGGAGAGUGUAACUGGGUUAGUACAGGUCUUGCCUCUCGUGCACAGGGCCCUGGGUUUAAUCCCCAGCACCAUUUAAGCUGGGUAUGGUGGAUCAGGAGUUCAAACCCAUCUUUGGCUGUAUAGUGAGUGAACUACAUGUGAACUUCCACAAAGGGAGAUAGUUUGGUGAACACUGGGGACAGGUGCAGGAUUCGGGAAGGAUCUGAUGUGUGGUGGACGGUGGGCAUCCUCACCUGUCCAAAGUGCUGGCUAAUAGGCAGGCGCUGUUGCAGACGAUCAGAGCGGCUGGUGAGGCUUGGGGUUCUCAGGGAGCCCCCCCUCUGCAGGCCAGAGUCUCCAUCCUGUGAAGGGAUGCAUGUGUGGGCUGGGGUCCCACCUCCACUCCCCUGAAAUAUCUGUGGAUGAGGAAUUCACCUUGGGCGGUCUUACCUUAAUCGUGAGCAGGUUCUGCAUACCCUUCAAGCCACUCUUUGCCUAGGUGAUGACCCGACACAGUAUCAGACACAAGUGUUUUCUAACCCCAUUCCACCUUUGUAUCUUCCAAGCUAUGUUUAUACCUUUGAUGCACAAUAUUCCUGGAGGGAGUCACCCUGCCAUAAACCAAAGGUUUGACCACUGUAUAUAGGAUUAAAAUCAAAUGGACAGAUCUGAAAUGUAAAGGCUGGUCUGAAAGAAUAUUUGAGCUCCAGACCUCCUUCUCCCCCCACUCCCAAAUCAAGAAUGGAAGCUAAGUAACAAAAGGUAAUUGAUG
rnacentral:lncRNA from 1 species